rnacentral:rRNA from 1 species
UACAUAGGCUGCAAGCGUUAUCCGGAUUUAUUGGGCGUAAAGAGUCCGUAGGCGGUUUUUUAAGUCUUGUUUCAAAGACCUCGACUCAAUCGAGGAAAGGGGCAAGAUACUGAACGACUAGAGUGAUAUCGGGGUUACUGGAAUUUGUAGUGUAGGGGUUAAAUCCGUGGAUACUACAAAGAACACCAAGCGCGAAGGCGGGUAACUAGGUAUAUACUGACGCUGAGGGACGAAAGCUAGGGAAGCAAAU